AAACUUUCAACAACGGAUCUCUUGGUUCCGGCAUCGAUGAAGAACGCAGCGAAAUGCGAUAACUAAUGUGAAUUGCAGAAUUCAGUGAAUCAUCGAGUCUUUGAACGCACAUUGCGCCCCUUGGUAUUCCGGGGGGCAUGCCUGUCCGAGCGUCAUUU
rnacentral:rRNA from 1 species